GAGCCUGAGAAACGGCUACCACAUCNANGGAUGGCAGCAGGCGCGCAAAUUACCCAAUCCCGACACGGGGAGGUAGUGACAAUAAAUAACAAUACGGGGUUCUUUAGGAUCUCGUAAUUGGAAUGAGUACAAUUUAAAUCUCUUAACGAGGAACAAUUGGAGGGCAAGUCUGGUGCCAGCAGCCGCGGUAAUUCCAGCUCCAAUAGCGUAUANNNAAGUUGUUGCAGUUAAAAAGCUCGUAGUUGAAUUUCGGGGUUAGUAGGUUGGUCAUGCCUCUGGUAUGUACUGGUCUCACUGAUUCCUCCUUCCUUAUGAACCGUAAUGCCAUUAAUUUGGUGUUGCGGGGAAUUUGGACUGUUACUUUGAAAAAAUUAGAGUGUUUAAAGCAAGCUAACGCUUGAAUACAUUAGCAUGGAAUAAUGAAAUAGGACGUUCGAUCUUAUUUUGUUGGUUUCUAGGAUUGACGUAAUGAUUAAUAGGGAUAGUUGGGGGCAUUAGUAUUCAAUUGUCAGAGGUGAAAUUCUUGGAUUUAUUGAAGACUAACUACUGCGAAAGCAUUUGCCAAGGAUGUUUUCAUUAAUCAAGAACGAAAGUUAGGGGAUCGAAGACGAUCAGAUACCGUCGUAGUCUUAACCAUAAACUAUGCCGACUAGGGAUCGGAUGAUGUUAAUUUUUUAAUGACUCAUUCGGCGCCUUACGGGA
rnacentral:rRNA from 1 species